CCAAUGGCAUUGCCCGGUAGCUAAAUGCGGAAAAGAUAAGUGCUGAAAGCAUCUAAGCACGAAACUUGCCCCGAGAUGAGUUCUCCCUGACUCCUUGAGAGUCCUGAAGGAACGUUGAAGACGACGACGUUGAUAGGUCGGGUGUGUAAGCGUAGCGAUACGUUGAGCUAACCGAUACUAAUGAACCGUGAGGCUUAACCUUACAACGCCGAAGCUGUU
rnacentral:rRNA from 1 species